GCGGCCACUGCUAUCAAGUUCCGACUAAGCCAUGCGAGUCAAGGUAUCGUAAGAUGCCGGCAAACUGCUCAGUAACACGUGGAUAAUCUAACCUUGAGUAAGGGAUAACUUCGGGAAACUGAAGGUAAUACCUUAUAAUUGCUUAAAACUGGAAUGUUUUUGCAAUAAAAGUUACGACGCUCAAGGAUGAGUCUGCGACCUAUCAGGUAGUAGGUGGUGUAAUGGACCACCUAGCCUCAGACGGGUACGGGCCCUGGGAGGGGUAGCCCGGAGAUGGACUCUGAGACAUAAGUCCAGGCCCUACGGGGCGUAGCAGGCGCGAACACUGUGCAAUGCGCGAAAGCGCGACACGGGGAGCUUGAGUGUCUUGGCAUAGCCAAGACUUUUCUCAUUCCUAAAAAGCAUGAGGAAUAAGUGCUGGGUAAGACGGGUGCCAGCCGCCGCGGUAACACCCGCAGCACGAGUAGUGGUCACUUUUAUUGAGCCUAAAGCGUUCGUAGCCGGUUUUGUAAAUCUUCAGAUAAAGCCUGAAGCUUAACUCCAGAAAGUCUGAAGAGACUGCAAGACUUGAGAUCGGGUGAGGUUAAACGUACUUUCAGGGUAGGGGUAAAAUCCUGUAAUCCCGGAAGGACGACCAGUGGCGAAAGCGUUUAACUAGAACGAACCUGACGGUAAGGAACGAAGGCUAGGGUAGCAAACCGGAUUAGAUACCCGGGUAGUCCUAGCUGUAAACAUUGCCCAUUUGAUGUUGCUUUUCCGUUGAGGGAAGGCAGUGUCGGAGCGAAGGUGUUAAAUGGGCCGCUUGGGAAGUAUGGUCGCAAGACUGAAACUUAA
rnacentral:rRNA from 1 species